UUCUAAAUUCUUACACAGAGCAAGAAUACAUCUAAAUUGCCUUUCAAUAGCUCAUACAAGGCCAGGAGAGCUACCAUUGGCUACUUAGCACAUGAGUCACUCACUUCCUCUCUCCAAGUGCACCACUCUGUUUCAGAUUUGGAAUCCUCUUCUACUGGGUCUCAGAGCCAGGAGCACCAUAAUUUAGCUAUCAUGUUUCCACUGCAGGUUAUUUUUCUCGCUUCGUUAAUUUGCUCUUAUGGAGAUGCUCUGGAGCUGACACAAUCGGAACCCUCCAAAACCAGGGGAAACACUAAAACUGCUAUUAUUAAAUGCCAGGUUACGGGGACUACCACUGUUAUACAUUGGUAUCGACACAAGCCUGGGGAAGGUCCAGAGCGGAUUCUGUACUGGUCAGCAGGAAGAGUUGUCUACGACAAGGAGUCUGAUAAAAAGUUUUCAGCAAAACAGGACUCUAGUAAGAACGUUUAUUCUCUGACAAUAGAUGACAUAAGUACAGAUGAUGCAGUUAUGUAUUACUGUGCCUCUUGGGAUGAUGCACAUUGUUAGCAAAGCAUUGAGCAGCUGUACA